GACGAACGCUGGCGGCGUGCUUAACACAUGCAAGUCGAACGAUGAAGCCGGAGCUUGCUCUGGUGAAGUAGUGGCGAACGGGUGAGUAACACGUGAGUAACCUGCCCUUGACUCUGGGAUAACUGCGGGAAACUGUAGCUAAUACCGAAUACGACCCUCGGAGGCAUCUCCUGGGGGUGGAAAGAAUUUCGGUCAAGGAUGGACUCGCGGCCUAUCAGCUAGUUGGUGAGGUAAAGGCUCACCAAGGCGACGACGGGUAGCCGGCCGGAGAGGGUGACCGGCCACACUGGGACUGAGACACGGCCCAGACUCCUACGGGAGGCAGCAGUGGGGAAUAUUGCACAAUGGGCGCAAGCCUGAUGCAGCAACGCCGCGUGAGGGAUGACGGCCUUCGGGUUGUAAACCUCUUUUAGCAGGGAAGAAGCGAAAGUGACGGUACCUGCAGAAAAAGCACCGGCUAACUACGUGCCAGCAGCCGCCGUAA
rnacentral:rRNA from 1 species